GGAGCAUUCCUGACAAUCUGGAUCUACUCAACAACAACUUGUUGAGGAACUUAGAUUCACGCUGUGUCAGGAGUCUCAAUGGCUACAGAGUCACAGUGGAGAUCCUCCGUCAUGUGCCAAACGUCCACACCUUCAGGCUGGUUCUGAGAGCCACCAAGCUGUGGGUCAAACAUGAAUCCAAGUGACCGCACGCACAUAAUGCCCAUCAUCCCCCCAGCGUACCCGUAUCAGAACACCAGCUUCAACGGGUCUCCCUCCACCUUCGCCAUCAUAACGGGGGCGAUCGAGCGGGGUCACACCACUGCCUGAUCGGGCAGAAAGAAAACUGACUGGUCCAAACAGUUUGAGACUUCUUCAGGAGCUACUAGUAUGUAUUAGGCUGCUGGAAGAUGAAAAUGUGCAUCGCCACGUUCAAAAUACAAAACAUUUACUCUGUAUUCCUGAUAAAACUGUCAAACUGUCUUCUUCUGCCUUUUCUGAUGAUUUCAUUGAUUGUCUUAAUAAAGAUAUGGAUGUAGUGGGUUGUAACAAAGUAAAGCCUGUGGCUCUGAUUCUGUACCACUGUACCCUGUUGUAUCUGAACCAAAUGAUGUAAUUGACUGGUUGUAUAUUUCUGUGCUGUAUGUUUAUCUCUGGAUUCUGUGGACUUGUUUUCAGUUUGUUUAUCGUGAAUUAGCUGCUGUUUAUUUAGUGAGUGUUGCUACUUCAGACUCUAAUGCAACUGAUUUGCUUUUGUUAUGUACACUGACUCACAUGGAUUCUUGAAUGCCUAUUAUGUAAUCAAUCUGCCAAAAGCUUUGUCUCUGUUUGCUGUUAUUAUUUUAUUGGGUGACUAACUUCACUUUGUACUUGAUUCCAACUGUUGAAUGUAUUAUUUAAUGAAGCUGUACACUGGCUUUUGUUAUUUGAACUGAGAAUGUAGACAGAAGUGGAUCAUCUGUUUGUGUG